ACGUGCGUUCAUACCAGCACUAAUGCAAUAGAUCCCAUCAGAACUCCGCAGUUUCGCGUGCUUGGGCGAGAGUAGUACUAGGAUGGGUGACCUCCGGGGAAGUCCUCGUGUUGCACCUC
rnacentral:rRNA from 2 species